rnacentral:rRNA from 1 species
UACAGAGACUGCAAGCGUUAUUCGGAUUCACUGGGCGUAAAGGGUGCGCAGGCGGUUGGGUGUGUCAGAUGUGAAAUCCCGAGGCUCAACCUCGGAACUGCGUCUGAAACUACUCGACUAGAGUACUGGAGAGGGUAACGGAAUUCACGGUGUAGCAGUGAAAUGCGUAGAUAUCGAUGAGGAACACCAGAGGCGAAGGCGGUUACCUGGACAGUUACUGACGCUCAGGCACGAAAGCAUGGGGAGCAAAAGGG